UCAUUAUCCCCUAUGUAUAUGCAACAAUCCUAAAUGAAACACUCUAGACUCGAUCCUAAAUGUAAUGCAACUACAUGAACACUGUUUUUGUGAAAUCAUUUUCUGAA
rnacentral:sRNA from 1 species